rnacentral:lncRNA from 1 species
CACAUAGCUCAGUAUGAAAGAAGUAUGAACAAACAAUUCUCAGAAGCUAUAUGGUGUUUCCUGCCUGUGUGUGUGUGUGUGUGUGUGUGUCUGUUUUUUUGUGAUGGCUUCUCUAUAUAAGUGUAAUUUCUCAGAAGCACUGAGGAGAGGCUGUGACUGCCUUGUAGACAGAUACAGCAUCUUAAAGACGCCAGAAGUUCAUGCAAAGGUAUGUUCUAUUCCAUAUGUGUCUCUGGGACAGGGUUUACAUUGCUUCCCAGAGUGCAAACCUGUAAAAAAGAGCACACUAACUCCAAGUGAAGAAGAGGAAAGUUUGUUUAGUAUCCUUUUACACCAGAGGUGGAGAACCCUCCUCCUGAGAACUACUGUUUUGUAUCCUUUUACACCAGAGGUGGACAACCCUCCUCCUGGAGAACUACUGUUUUGUAUCCUUUUACACCAGAGGUGGACAACCCUCCUGGAGAACUAAUGUUUUGUAUCCUUUUACACCAGAGGUGGAGAACCCUCCUCCUGGAGAACUACUGUUUAGUAUCCUUUUACACCAGAGGUGGUCAACCCUCCUCCUGGUGAACUAAUGUUUUGUAUCCUUUUACACCAGAAGUGGUCAACCCUCCUCCUGGAGAACUACUGUUUUGUAUCCUUUUACACCAGAGGUGUACAACCCUCCUCUUGGAGAACUACUGUUUUGUAUCCUUUUACACCAGAGCUGGGCAGUCCUCUUAGAGAACUACUGGUUUGUAUCCUUUUACACCAGAGCUGGACAACCCUCCUCUUGGAGAACUACUGUUUUUUAGCCUUUUAUACCAGAGGUGGAGAACCCUCCUCCUGGAGAACUACUGUUUUGAAGCCUUUUAUACCAGAGGCGGAGAACCCUCCUCCUGGAGAACUACUGUUUUGAAGCCUUUUACAUCAGAGGUGGAGAACCCUCCUCUUGGAGAGCUACUGUGUAUGCAGGCUUUUGUUCCAGCCCUGCUCCAACACACACUCUACAUUUACAUUUUAACCUAGAACCGAGCUCUGGGAGACAGCAGUAGUGAGAGUACGUGGUGCUGACACAGAUCCUCUCCAUUCCACCUGGUUGGAGCAGUGCAAGAUUGUGCAGAGACUUAGACACCCAGCCCUGAGAGGGUGGAGAGGAGGAUCUGAUGGUCCACAGUGUCAAAUGCAAUAGAUAGAUCUAGGAGGAUGAGAACAGAGGAGUGAAAGAGUCAGCUUUGGCAGAGCGGAGAGCCUCCGUGACACAGAGAAGAGCAGUCUCGGUUGAGUGAACCAUCUUACUUCCAUUUUGAAGUCAGAAGGGGCGCAGCCAGUGGUCAGGGAUGAGUUGAUGAGGGAAGUGAGGAAUGGGAGAAGGUCUCCUGAUAUGGGCUGGAGCGGGUAGGAGGGGAUGGGGUCAGGUGGGCAGGUUGUCGGGUGGCCAGACCACACCAGUCGCAUGAUUUCAUCUGGAGAGUAAGGGGAGAAAGAGGUCAAGGCAUAGGGUAGAUCUGUGUGAGUAGGGCGAGUGGACUCAAUGGGCUGAGUGUAUGAGGAGAGGAUGUAGUUAACCUUUUCAAAGUGGUUGACAAAGUCCUCCUCAGAGAGGAAGGAGGGAGGAGGGGGUGGAGGAAGAAGAUGGAAAAUAGAUUCCUAUGGUGAGAGGCAGAAACUUAACAUUUAGAGUGAAAAAAGUGGCUUUAGCAUCAGAUACAGAGGAAGAGAAGGUAGAGCGGAGGGUGUGAAAGGAUGAUAGGUCCUCCAGAAGUGACGUUUUCCUUCAUUUUUGCUCAGCUGCCCGCAGCCCUGCUCUGUAAGCUCUCAAGGAGUCACUCAGCCACGGAGCAGGAGGGGAGGAAAAUGGACAGUGUACAUCAUAGGAUGCGGAAUGGGAGGAGUGUAGGGUUUAAGAGGCAGAAUCAGGAAACAUGCGGUAGAAGUAUUUUGCAGAAGGGAGAUAUGAUAGGAUAGAAGAGGAGAGGAGAGAGAGAGUGAAGAUUGUGAGCAGUGUAUGACCAUUUGGUUGGGGUUAAGGAUGGAGGAAAGGGAGACAGAAAAGGAAAGAAAGUGGUGAUCAGAGACCUGGAGGGGGUUGCAGUGAGAUUAGUAGGCAAACAGCCUCUAGUAAAGAUGAGGUCAAGCGUAUUGCCUGUCUUGAGAGUGGGACUGGGGAAGGGUGAGGUCAAGUGUAUUGUCUGCCUUGUGAGUGGUCAAAAGAGGGGAAAGAAAGAGUUCAUAGAAAUGAAUGGAAGGCAGACAUCGGGAGGUUGAAGUCACCAAGUACGAAGAGCGUUGGUUUGAAUGAAGAUGGCAAAGAAUGCAGUGUGGACAGUCUUCCUGUUGACCUUUGGUGUUACCACAGGGAUGAAAAAGUUAUAUUCAUUCAAGCGAUACCUCUCCGUCCAUUCUAGCAGCAGGCUACACCGAGAAUGGAACAGCUGGAUAGGGGAAACAGCUCGAGCCGCACCAAAUGGAAUAUAACAUUGCGGAAUGACACAGUUUCAUGUGUACGACAUCUAAAGACCUGCAUCACUAUACUGAGAGCGUUUCAGUUUCUAAAAUGAUGUAUUUGGGUGUUUUUGGAGCGUUGAUCAUGUUUUUUUUUGCUACCUUAUUGCACAACGAGGAUGUGAAUCACUGGUUGGGGUAAGUUUCUCAACAACAACAAAAAUGUCUGGAUACUUCUAUAACAUGCCAUCAAAAUUAGAGAUUUGGUUGUAAAAAAAGCUAACUUCUCCUUUAAACUGGAGCAUAUCCAGGCUAUCUGUGCUUACAGUUCAAGUCAGCCCGAAAUAUACAAAGAUUUUAACAAAGCAGUCCGGACCAAUAGGAAAGUCUACACGUCCUCCGUCAAGUUCCACUCCCUGCAUUUCCUGCUGACUGAAGCUAUUCUCCUCCUGAAACAAAAUCCAGACCAACAGGAUUGUUACACCACACACAGAAGAACCAACAAGGAGUUUGCAGGUGAAGUGAACAAGGAAAUCCGUUUUGGCUUAUUUUCCUCCAGCUCUUUGAGAUAAAGACACGUUUUGGCUCAAGUCCUACCCAGUGAUGGAAGAAAAGGAGAAGGUGUGGAUUCCGCCCUGUGAGGUUUUUAAAGUUACUGACGUACUGUGUAC